UUUUAACUUCUAUGUAAAAAGGUAUUUAGGCUCAUUAUGCAAGGAAAUUACAGCUGCUUUCAUUCCCGACUGCAUAAAAAACCACCAUUCCACGGCCACCAUACUCGAGGUAAAAAUGAGUACGGCGGUGCGAGGCAGUUUAAUUUACUCCUUCACCAGAACUACGCAGUUGAUUAUGAACAACAGAUAGGCAGAAAGAGGAGAAACAAAUUAUUCUUAUACUAAAGCUUAGAAUUCUUUAAUCUACCCCCAAACAACAACGAAUGGCAUCUACUAGCUUUUAAGCAACUUCUGUUCUGCAGAAAAAAACUACGUAAAAAAAGUUGCUAAAACUAUCAGUUGCGACAUCGCUGCUAACAAAUUAUCGACUAAACUUGUCGAUAAUAACGAAUUCCCCUAGUAAGCCAAACAUAACAUUGAGAGGAAACGUAACGAUUAAAUAUUAAUUCAAAAAAUGGUCCAUGUGACUGC